UCAGAGAAUGUGCAAUGGAAUGAAAAUAUUUUAUCUAAAAAUGCUGAAUACAGCUUUCUCCCUUUGCCCUCUACUUCGCAGGCACCACAAGGACUUACUUUUGAAAAAACACUAGAUUCUACAUUAACUGAACGUGAGAAGAUCCUGCUGAGUCAUUUGACUCAAACUUAAUUAAGCUUAAAGCGUUUGGCAGUCGAAAUGCGAACUGUGAGGAAGACACUAAUAAAUUGUUUGUAGCUUAUAACGAUAUUAGCGGGGUCCGCACUGACAUGCCUAAUAGAAAUAAUAAUUAUGACAUUCAAGUUGUUGAUGAGAUAGUUUAUCCUGUUUUGUCUUUGCCCAAUGAAAUCGAUUUCUUUUUAUAUGAAAAUGAUUUAUGUAACUUUUUGGAGCAGCCAGUAUUAUAUGUUAGUGGUUAUUUAGCUGCAAAAUUAUUAGAUAGAACGAAAUGUCAGAAAUGUAAAGAUUCGUUAAAAGUUGAUAAACCAGUAGACAACUUAAACAAUUAUAUUAGUUUUAAAGAAUGGUGGAAAGAUUCGAGCUCAUUGUGCUUGCCUUCUGAACCUUUAUGUCAUUUUGUAAACAAGAGCCAAAUUCAUUUCAAAGCUAUUAUAUCUCAGGACUUACAAAUUAAAAAUAUAAAGCAGUAGACUAGUUUGCAAUUAAGUAAUGAGCAUUUUAUAGAAAAAAACAAAUCAAUUAAUUCAUAAUCUUUGUUUAUUAUUCAUUAGAAAAUCAUGUAAAGACAAAAAUAUACAAUUAGAAUAAUGUGAUCAAGACAAAGCUUAGAUAACAAUUUUUAAGAUUCUUGUUGAAUAUUUAUAUUUAUAUUGUCUGUACUAUAAAACAAUGUUUGUAGAAAACAUACAUAUUGGCAGUUCUUCUUGACAUCUAAUGUCUUUGCAAUGUUUUUCGUUUUCCAAGUUUUUAAAUGUGUAUAUUUUACCUUAGAAACAAAAAAAAAAUUUCCGCUGUGGCUUCGCCCACAUAGAUUACGCGAUUUUCGCUAUUUCGUUUUCUCCCAUAAUCCGCUGUUCGUUUAUCCACAUACCAUUAAAUGGCGUACAUGGAAUUGUAGCAUCCCGUGAAAGAAUUUUUAAAAUCGGUAGUACUUUAUGGAAUUACCUACUACAAACAUUUAAUAAUACAAAAAUAAGAAUUUAGAAGAUUACUCUAAAUAUGUUCUUAUUAUGUUUGUAAAUCAUUAUGUUUUUUAUCUGUAUGCCUAGGAUCAUUAUAUAACGCUUUUCAGAAUUGUUUUUACUUAGACAAUAUCUGUAAAUAUGUUUAUGUUAUGUUUGUUUGUUAUUUACUGUAUGUCGGAUCGUUACAUAUGUAACGUUUAAAAAUUUUAGAUUUUUGUGAAUAUGUUAUGAGUCAAAUUCAUCGUCUUGGUUGUUAUUGAUUGAUAAUUACUGUUUUGCGAGAUCAUUUCAUUUGUAUCACUUUUUAAGAGUUGAUUUUUUUGUGACUAUGCUACGUUAAGUGUUAAAUCAUGUUGUUUGUUAAUUUUUGAUAAUUACUAUUUGUUACUAUUUAA